rnacentral:rRNA from 1 species
AUUGAACGCUGGCGGCAGGCUUAACACAUGCAAGUCGAGCGGAGAUGAAGUGCUUGCACCUUAUCUUAGCGGCGGACGGGUGAGUAAUGCUUAGGAAUCUGCCUAUUAGUGGGGGACAACAUUCCGAAAGGAAUGCUAAUACCGCAUACGUCCUACGGGAGAAAGCAGGGGAUCUUCGGACCUUGCGCUAAUAGAUGAGCCUAAGUCGGAUUAGCUAGUUGGUGGGGUAAAGGCCUACCAAGGCGACGAUCUGUAGCGGGUCUGAGAGGAUGAUCCGCCACACUGGGACUGAGACACGGCCCAGACUCCUACGGGAGGCAGCAGUGGGGAAUAUUGGACAAUGGGGGGAACCCUGAUCCAGCCAUGCCGCGUGUGUGAAGAAGGCCUUAUGGUUGUAAAGUACUUUAAGCGAGGAGGAGGCUACUGAGACUAAUACUCUUGGAUAGUGGACGUUACUCGCAGAAUAAGCACCGGCUAACUCUGUGCCAGCCGCCGCCGUAAUAC